AGCAGUAGCCACGGUAAAACGGAGGGUGCAAGCGUUAACCGGAAUUACUGGGCGUAAAGCGUGCGUAGGCGGUUCGUUAAGUCUGUUGUGAAAGCCCCGGGCUCAACCUGGGAAUGGCAAUGGAUACUGGCGAGCUAGAGUGUGUCAGAGGAUGGUGGAAUUCCCGGUGUAGCGGUGAAAUGCGUAGAGAUCGGGAGGAACAUCAGUGGCGAAGGCGACCAUCUGGGACAACACUGACGCUGAGGCACGAAAGCGUGGGGAGCAGACAGGAUUAGAUACCCGCGUAGUCCCUGUCUCUUAUAC
rnacentral:rRNA from 1 species